rnacentral:rRNA from 2 species
GGACUACUGGGGUUUCUAAUCCUGUUUGCUCCCCUAGCUUUCGUGCCUCAGUGUCAGGAAUCGUCCAGGGACUCGCCUUCGCCACUGGUGUUCCUCUCGAUAUCUACGCAUUUCACUGCUACACCGAGAAUUCCAGUCCCCCCUCCGAUCCUCAAGCCGGAUAGUAUCCAAUGCAGUUUCGCAGUUGAGCUGCGAGAUUUCACAUCAGACUUACCCGACCACCUACGCACCCUUUACGCCCAGUGAAUCCGAACAACGCUCGGGACCUCUGUAUUACCGCGGCUGCUGGCAC